rnacentral:rRNA from 1 species
UACGUAGGGUGCGAGCGUUGUCCGGAAUUACUGGGCGUAAAGAGCUCGUAGGUGGUUUGUCGCGUUGUUCGUGAAAUCUCACGGCUUAACUGUGAGCGUGCGGGCGAUACGGGCAGACUGGAGUACUGCAGGGGGAGACUGGAAUUCCUGGUGUAGCGGUGGAAUGCGCAGAUAUCGUAAGGAAGACCAGUGGCGAAGGCGGGUCUCUGGACAGUUCCUGACGCUGAGGCACGAAGGCCAGGGGGAGCAAACGGG